rnacentral:rRNA from 1 species
AUACGUAGGGUGCAAGCGUUAAUCGGAAUUACUGGGCGUAAAGCGUGCGCAGGCGGUUUUGUAAGACAGUGGUGAAAUCCCCCGGCUCAACCUGGGAACUGCCAUUUUGACUGCAAGGCUGGAGUGCGGCAGAGGGGGAUGGAAUUCCGCGUGUAGCAGUGAAAAGCGUAGAUAUGCGGAGGAACACCGAUGGCGAAGGCAAUCCCCUGGGCCUGCACUGACGCUCAUGCACGAAAGCGUGGGGAGCAAACAGGAUUAGAUACCCUGGUAGUCCACGCCCUAAACGAUGUCAACUGGUUGUUGGGGAUUUAUUUUCUCAGUAACGAAGCUAACGCGUGAAGUUGACCGCCUGGGGAGUACGGCCGCAAGGUUAAAACUCAAAUGAAUUGGCGGGG